rnacentral:piRNA from 1 species
UAACAGUCUGAGGUCAAGGCAUUGG